CUCCCGAGGCGCGUCCCGGGCCGCCGCCGGGCGGGGCCGCGGCCUGAGGGGUCCGCCCAGGUGCGGGAGGCGGCAGUGCCGCUGGCCGCCUCAGGGGUGCCUCAGGCGUGCCGGGCUCCCCGGGGCUCCCCAGGCACACGAGUACCGGCUCGGCGCUCACAGCCCACCUCCCCGCCCGGCUGCCGGCUCCAGGCUGGGGGCGGGUGUACACCCAGCUGGCAGGCGGCCGGCGCGGCGAGCUCGCUGUGCUGCCAAGGGGCACUAACUUCGCACGCUGCACCAGACUGAAGACAGAUGAUGCUUCCUGGGAAGAUGGGCACAUCCUCCUCCACCUGACAAAACUUGUUUGACCAGCUCUACUAUGGACUCCCUGCAAAUGUAGAAACCAGAACUGCCCAGCUCUGAAAACAUGUGUCCGCUGGUCUCACACAAGGAGCCAACAUGCAGAGCAGGUGGAAUUGGAAGACCCCACUCGAGCACCGUCUCGAGCAGCAGGAGACUGUGAAGAGGAAGAAGCAACACAAUCCCCACCCACCUUUGCUGCUGGGAGACAGGAGGU